GCUCCUACCGAUUGAGUGAUCCGGUGAAUAAUUCGGACUGCAGCAGUGUUCAGUUCUUGAACAUUGCAGUGGAAAGUUUAAUGAACCUUAUCACUUAGAGGAAGGAAAAGUCGUAACAAGGUUUCCGU
rnacentral:rRNA from 1 species